UGAAAGAUAAGCUAAUUUUAAGCUAAUAGGUUCAUACCCUAUAAAUGAAAGUUACUCUAUUCUCUUUCAA
rnacentral:tRNA from 1 species